AACGAACGCUGGCGGCAUGCCUAACACAUGCAAGUCGAACGGAAUCCUAGCUUGCUAGGUGAGAGUGGCGGACGGGUGAGUAACACGUGGGAAUCUGCCUUUUGGUUCGGGAUAACCGCGGGAAACUGCGGCUAAUACCGAAUGCCCUCGUGAGAGGAAAGAUUUAUCGCCAGAAGAGGAGCCCGCGUCCGAUUAGGUAGUUGGUGGGGUAAAGGCCUACCAAGCCGACGAUCGGUAGCUGGUCUGAGAGGAUGAUCAGCCACACUGGGGCUGAGAUACGGCCCAGACUCCUACGGGAGGCAGCAGUGGGGAAUAUUGGACAAUGGGGGCAACCCUGAUCCAGCAAUGCCGCGUGAGUGAUGAAGGCCUUAGGGUUGUAAAGCUCUUUUGCCAGGGAAGAUGAUGACUGUACCUGGAGAAUAAGCCCCGGCUAACUUCGUGCCAGCCGCCGCCGUAA
rnacentral:rRNA from 1 species